UUUACAUAAUGAAGCUGAAUUUAAAUUUAUUUUUUUAAUUUCUAAGUUUGACAUAACAGUGUAUAAUUUGCAUAUAUUUAAUACAAAAUGUUUAAAAAAAAUUGGUAAUACGCAGUAAAUGAUUUAAGUUUUAACCUUAUAUGUUCCUAAAACUUCAACUUCUAUAAAGAUAAUUUGCAAUAUUUCAGGAAUUCCUACGAGAAAUUUUUCAAUAUGGAGAAUAGUUGAUUUCACAAAAUGGAGAGAAUAAUAAUAAAGUGAUGUUUGUAAAUGACGUCACGUGGCAACAGCAUAUUUUUAUUAGAAUUUUAUUAGAUAUAUAUAAAGUUUAUUGGUGGAAAAAAAUAAGAGAAAAAUCAUUAAAAGACCAAAACUAUUUAAGUUAAUACAUCAAGAGGACUUAAUGAACACUAUAAAAAUGCAGUUGAAUUGGG